rnacentral:rRNA from 1 species
AUUGAACGCUGGCGGAAUGCUUUACACAUGCAAGUCGAGCGGCAGCACGGGGGUAACCCUGGUGGCGAGCGGCGAACGGGUGAGUAAUACAUCGGAACAUGCCCAGUCGUGGGGGAUAACACUUCGAAAGAAGUGCUAAUACCGCAUACGUCCUGAGGGAGAAAGCGGGGGAUCUUCGGACCUCGCGCGAUUGGAGUGGCCGAUGUCAGAUUAGCUAGUUGAUGGGGUAAAGGCCUACCAAGGCAACGAUCUGUAGCUGGUCUGAGAGGAUGAUCAGCCACACUGGGACUGAGACACGGCCCAGACUCCUACGGGAGGCAGCAGUGGGGAAUUUUGGACAAUGGGGCAACCCUGAUCCAGCCAUUCCGCGUGAGUGAAGAAGGCCUUCGGGUUGUAAAGCUCUUUCGGCAGGAACGAAACGGCGAGCCCCAACAUAGCUUGCUAAUGACGGUACCUGAAGAAGAAGCACCGGCUAACUACGUGCCAGCCGCCGCCGUAAUAC